rnacentral:SRP_RNA from 1 species
GUCGGGUGCAGUGGCGCGCGCCUGUAAUCCAAGCUGCUGGGAGGCUGAGGCUGGCGGAUCGCUUGAGUUCAGGGGUUCUGGGCUGCAGUGGACUAUGUCGAUCGGGUGUCCGCACUAAGUUCGGUAUCGAUAUGGUGCUCCUGGGGGAGCUCGGGACCACCAGGUCGUCUAAGGAGGGGUGAACCGGCCCAGGUCGGAGACGGAGCAGGUCAAAGCCCCCGUGUCGAUCAGUAGUGGGGUCGCGCCUGUGAAUAGACACUGCAGUGUAGCCUGAGCGAUACAGCGAGACUCAGACUUU